rnacentral:rRNA from 1 species
UACGAAGGGGGCUAGCGUUGUUCGGAUUUACUGGGCGUAAAGCGCACGUAGGCGGAUAUUUAAGUCAGGGGUGAAAUCCCGGGGCUCAACCCCGGAACUGCCUUUGAUACUGGGUAUCUUUGAGUCCGGAAGGGGUGAGUGGAAUUCCGAGUGUAGAGGUGAAAUUCGUAGAUAUUCGGAGGAACACCAGUGGCGAAGGCGGCUCACUGGUCCGGUACUGACGCUGAGGUGCGAAAGCGUGGGGAGCGAACAGG